CAAGGAAUUUUCGUCAAUGGGGGCAACCCUGAACGAGCAACGCCGCGUGCAGGAUGACGGCCUUCGGGUUGUAAACUGCUUUUGGGAGGGAAGAGUUUGACGGUACCUCCUGAAUAAGGCUCGGCUAACUCUGUGCCAGCAGCCGCGGUAAGACAGAGGAGCCAAGCGUUGUCCGGAUUGACUGGGCGUAAAGCGCACGCAGGCGGUGCUGCGCGUGGGGUGUGAAAUCUGGCCGCUUAACGGCCAGGCGCCAUCCCAUACGGCAGCACUGGAGCCGUGCAGAGGGCGGUGGAAUUGCCGGUGUAGUGGUGAAAUGCGUAGAGAUCGGCAGGAACACCCAGGGGGAAACCAGCCGCCUGGGCACGCGCUGACGCUGAGGUGCGAGAGCGUGGGGAGCGAACCGGAUUAGAUACCCGGGUAGUCCACGCCGUAAACGAUGGCCACUCGGCCUUUGGAGGCGGAACCUCCGCUUCUGGGGGCCUAAGGCAAACGCAGUAAG
rnacentral:rRNA from 1 species